AAAAUGACUCUCGGCAACGGAUAUCUCGGCUCUUGCAUCGAUGAAGAACGUAGCGAAAUGCGAUACUUGGUGUGAAUUGCAGAAUCCCGUGAACCAUCGAGUCUUUGAACGCAAGUUGCGCCCGAAGCCAUUAGGCUGAGGGCACGCCUGCCUGGGUGUCACG
rnacentral:rRNA from 1 species